UACGGAGGUGGCAAGCGUUGCUCGGAAUCACUGGGCGUAAAGGGCGCGUAGGCGGGGAGGUAAGUCGGGUGUGAAAUCCCUCGGCCCAACUGAGGAACUGCGCCCGAGACUGCUUCUCUUGAGUCCCGGAGAGGAAGAUGGAAUUCCCGGUGUAGCGGUGAAAUGUGUAGAGAUCGGGAGGAACACCGGUGGCGAAGGCGGUCUUCUGGACGGUGACUGACGCUGAGGCGCGAAAGCGUGGGGAGCAAACGGG
rnacentral:rRNA from 1 species